rnacentral:rRNA from 1 species
AUGCCGGCUUCUUCUUCCAGCGCUCGAAGCAGCCGCGGGGCCACAUGCCUCGUGCUGAUUCUCCUGCUCGUCAGCCUGCGAGAAGCCUCUGCCACGCGUCCGCUGCGGCAGGCCGACGAUGUGAAGGACCAGGCGAUCGUUGACAAGUACGCGCCGCUCCUGCUCACAAUGCUGCCGAGUACAAGAUACUCUCACCGAUUGAAGAUGAUACUGGCAACAACUUUAAAAGAUGAAACUGUUUUUGCUCAUCCCUCGCGGGGACGGGUUCCUUGCGGGUACGAAAACCCCGACGGGGCAGGGAUAGGAAAAAAAAACUGCCUCCUUCCGCCGGAGACUUGGAGCCUCGGCGCCGCCUCCCUCGCCUCCCUCCCUAACCCUCUGAGCCGCCGGAGACUUGGAGCCUCGGCGCCGCCUCCCUCGCCUCCCUCCCUAACCCUUGGAGCCGCCGGAGACUUGGAGCCUCGGUGCCGCCUCCACGUCCACCAGGGAGAGGAGGCCCCACGUCCACCGGGACAGGAGGCCCGCGACCUCUCCGCCUCCCCCAAGCUCGCCGUCUCCGUCCUCCGUUGUCUCCGCUCCGGCCACCACCUCAUCAUGGUCAGUUCACCGUCCCGGAUCUCCGACUGCAUCGCCUCCCGCGGCGGCAACAUCCACAAUGUCGACGUCUUCGUCCCCGACGACGCCCCCGUCUUCUACGCCCGCAGGUACCCCAUCCAACUCACCCCCGCCUCCAUUUCCCACCUCUCCCUCUCUGCUCCUCCCUCCUUGCCCUCUCCCAAGGUCAAGAAGGCGGCCCCUUCCUCCGAAUCACCGCCCACCGCCUCCUCGACACUGGCGCCCGAGAAGGCCGUGUCGGCGCCCCCCGCCGCCCUCGCGUCGGACUCGCCGCCCGCGCCCAAGCUCAGUCCCACCCCCAUGCCCUACGAGGUGCACCACUGGCCGACCAAGUCCCAGACGUCCCCGUCCCCGCCGCCGCCGGACUACGCGCCGCCCCUGCCGCCUAAGCCCAGGCCAGAGCCCAGGCUAUCCAAGCUCGAGGUGUUCUUCACCUGUGGCCUUAAGAUCGAUAGAAAUGGUGAACAACCUUUAGGUCCCAGGAAUCUACUCAAGGCUGCAGACACUUCUUGUCUCACUUCUUUUGUCAUCGAUGGUGUAUUUGAGCUCGGGAGCAGAGAAUCCACGUCCUGA